ACGUAGGUUGCAAGCGUUGUCCGGAUUUACUGGGUGUAAAGGGCGUGUAGGCGGAGAUACAAGUUGGGAGUGAAAUCCAUGGGCUCAACCCAUGAACUGCUCUCAAAACUGUAUCCCUUGAGUAUCGGAGAGGCAAGCGGAAUUCCUAGUGUAGCGGUGAAAUGCGUAGAUAUUAGGAGGAACACCAGUGGCGAAGGCGGCUUGCUGGACGACAACUGACGCUGAGGCGCGAAAGCGUGGGGAGCAAACAG
rnacentral:rRNA from 1 species